rnacentral:rRNA from 1 species
UACGGGGGGGGCAAGCGUUGUUCGGAAUUACUGGGCGUAAAGGGCUCGUAGGCGGUCAACUAAGUCAGACGUGAAAUCCCCAGGCUCAACCUGGGAACUGCGUCUGAUACUGGAUGGCUUGAAUUCGGGAGAGGGAUGCAGAAUUCCAGGUGUAGCGGUGAAAUGCGUAGAUAUCUGGAGGAAUACCGGUGGCGAAGGCGGCAUCCUGGACCGACAUUGACGCUGAUGAGCGAAAGCUAGGGGAGCAAACGGG